rnacentral:rRNA from 1 species
UGGCGGCGUGCGUAUACAUGCAAGUCGAGCGGACCUUCGGGUCAGCGGCGGACGGGUGAGGAACACGUGAGUGAUCUAUCGAUGAGUGGGGGAUAUCGGGCCGAAAGGCGCGGCAAUCCCGCAUACGUUCCUACGGGAAGAAAGCUGGGCAACUGGCGCUCAUCGCGGAGCUCGCGGCCCAUUAGCUAGUUGGGGGGGUAACGGCCUCCCAAGGCGACGAUGGGUAGCCGGCCUGAGAGGGUGAACGGCCACACUGGGACUGAGACACGGCCCAGACUCCUACGGGAGGCAGCAGUAGGGAAUCUUCCACAAUGGGCGCAAGCCUGAUGGAGCAACGCCGCGUGAGUGAAGACGGCCUUCGGGUUGUAAAGCUCUGUCUGUCGGGACGAAGACCGGGACGGGAGUCCCGGGGAGCCGGUACCGACGAAGGAAGCCCCUGCAAACUACGUGCCAGCAGCCGCGGUAAGACGUAGGGGGCAAGCGUUGUCCGGAAUUACUGGGCGUAAAGGGCGUGUAGGCGGUGCGAUACGUAGCGGUUUUAAGCCUCCGGCUCACCCGGAGGAGGGCGGCUAAACGGUCGCACUGGAGGGCAGGAGAGGUGCGUGGAAUUCCUGGUGGAGCGGUGAAAUGCGUAGAGAUCAGGAAGAACACCAGUGGCGAAGGCGGCGCACUGGCCUGACCCUGACGCUGAGGCGCGACAGCGUGGGGAGCAAACGGGAUUAGAUACCCCGGUAGUCCACGCCGUAAACGAUGGAUACUAG